UACGGGGGGAGCAAGCGUUGUUCGGAUUUACUGGGCGUAAAGGGCGGGUAGGCGGCCACUGCAAGUCGGUUGUGAAAUCUCCGGGCUUAACCCGGAAAGGUCAACCGAUACUGCAGGGCUAGAGUGCAGAAGGGGCAACUGGAAUUCUCGGUGUAGCGGUGAAAUGCGUAGAUAUCGAGAGGAACACCUGCGGCGAAGGCGGGUUGCUGGGCUGACACUGACGCUGAGACGCGAAAGCGUGGGGAGCGAACAGG
rnacentral:rRNA from 1 species